CCUAUCAGAGGGGGAUAGCCCGGCGAAAGUCGGAUUAAUACCCCAUAAAACAGGGGUCCCGCAUGGGAAUAUUUGUUAAAGAUUCAUCGCUGAUAGAUAGGCAUGCGUUCCAUUAGGCAGUUGGCGGGGUAACGGCCCACCAAACCGACGAUGGAUAGGGGUUCUGAGAGGAAGGUCCCCCACAUUGGUACUGAGACACGGACCAAACUCCUACGGGAGGCAGCAGUGAGGAAUAUUGGUCAAUGGCCGAGAGGCUGAACCAGCCAAGUCGCGUGAAGGAAGAAGGAUCUAUGGUUUGUAAACUUCUUUUAUAGGGGAAUAAAGUGGAGGACGUGUCCUUUUUUGUAUGUACCCUAUGAAUAAGCAUCGGCUAACUCCGUGCCAGCAGCCGCGGUAAUACGGAGGAUGCGAGCGUUAUCCGGAUUUAUUGGGUUUAAAGGGUGCGUAGGUGGUGAUUUAAGUCAGCGGUGAAAGUUUGUGGCUCAACCAUAAAAUUGCCGUUGAAACUGGGUUACUUGAGUGUGUUUGAGGUAGGCGGAAUGCGUGGUGUAGCGGUGAAAUGCAUAGAUAUCACGCAGAACUCCGAUUGCGAAGGCAGCUUACUAAACCAUAACUGACACUGAAGCACGAAAGCGUGGGGAUCAAACAGGAUUAGAUACCCUGGUAGUCCACGCAGUAAACAAUGAUUACUAGGAGUUUGCGAUACAAUGUAAGCUCUA
rnacentral:rRNA from 1 species